UGAAGUACCUUUUUUAUUUUUUAUUCUGUUGAACAAGCUUCCAUAAGAUCGACUCGACACAAAACUGCUCCUUCAGUCUGUGAUGCUGCAGAGAUUUCUUUGGAUUCCGUUUGUAUUUUCAGACACGAGCGUUUUUCUGUCUUUUGAGAAUCAUUUGAGAAUCGCAGCGUUUCUGUGCUGAAACAGAAUCACAAAAGAAGCUGCAGCCAAAGUUCGUCUCUGUUUGAGUUCAUUCUGCCGUCAGCGAACAGAGACGUGUAGCGCACAGGUGAGGUCAGAGGUCAGAGGUCAGCGCGUGUUUUUGUAUAAAUACCUCCAGCACUGAUGUUAGAUCCAAGAAUACUACUGUGUACAGUCUCUUUUAACUCGUUUUUACUUCAUUUGUGUCUUUUUUUACUCUCACGAACACGUUCUGUUGAAUCGACGGCGUCUCGUUGUUUUUAUCUGCUUCCAGCAGUCUGUGGUGAAACUUCAACAUGACAAUAUCUGCAUAGAUCCGUUCUGAUGUUAUUUAUACACAUGAAACUGUUCAAACAGAAGGCGGCGACACUGAUCUAUAAAUAUCGUUCGUUUCCAUUCUGCUUUUGUCUCACGCCGGUGAAGUUUAAUAUAUGAAAUAUUUCAGUCUUUAUUGUUUUCUGCAGGAAUGAAAAAGCAGAUGAAAACCAAAGAUUCAUCCGUUUCUUUGUCAUCUUUAUUCGAACACCCACAAUAUAUACCAGGAUUAUAUAUACAGUAAAUAUAUAAAUAUGUGAAAAAAAGUUUAUUUUGUGGUUCCCAAAGCAAAAGUCCUCUUGAGGAUGAAAACCAAAGAUUAUUCACUUUCUCUUUGCCUUUCCCUUGAUUUUUUUUUUUAUGUAUAAUUCAUUGGAAAUCGUAGUUGUAUUCUAAUCUUUAUGAUCCAGUAAUCAAGUUAUUGAUUUUAUGGUGGAAUAUGAAUCAUUUUCUCUCUGCAUGAGAUGAAACAGCAGCGUCUCCGAGUUUCUUCUGUCGUUCUCUUGAUUCAGACGAUGUGUGUCGACUUUCUCUGCUGAAUGUUUAAUAUCUUACAGAAGGGCUACACACACACACACACACACACACACACACACACACACACACACACACACACACACACACACACACACACACACACACACACACACACACACUCACUCACACACACACACACACACACACACACUCACUCACACACACACACACACACACUUGUGUUCCUCCGCAGGUCUUCUGGACUCCAGCGGCUCCAGGUGUUGCUGUUUCAUGGUUUACUGUACUCAUGAGCUCCUCUGGAGUUUGUUUCUUUGCUGUUGUUGAGUUUGUCAUGUUGCUGUAGAUUCAUUAAAUGUUUUUCUCAGACUGUU